rnacentral:tRNA from 2 species
GUCCCAGUAGCUCAGUGGACAGAGCGGCUGCCUUCUAAGCAGCUGGCCGCGGGUUCGAAUCCUGCCUGGGACGCCA